rfam:Pan troglodytes isolate Yerkes chimp pedigree #C0471 (Clint) chromosome Y, whole genome shotgun sequence.
AUGUGCUGACUUUGGCAACAUAUAUACUAAAAUUGGGAUGAUACAGAUAAUAUUAGAAAGGCCCAUGCAAUGAUGACAGGUAAAUUCGUGAGGCAUUUCAUUAUUUA